CAUACAAGAUGACCACCAAGAAGAAAAACUAAUGGAUUUUAUCCCUAAUGGAACAACACACGGAUAUAGAUUUGGUCUCAAUUUAAAGAAGAGAAGCUCAGCACUUUAUUCUUGGUGGGUCUGAUUCAAAAAGGAAUCCUCAGACAGGUUCAUCAUCAACUGCAGUUUUUUUUUUACCAGGAAAAUACGGGGGUGGAAGAUGUCAUCCUCUCCCUGCUACACAGGACCUACUCUCACCUUGACACAUCACCUCUGAGCUGUGAAAAUUAUGUUCAGAUUUUUCCAGCACCUCCAACACCAUCCAGUCACUGCUUUCAGAACUUAUGAACUAGACUGGUCAGACAACACAAACUCAAUAUACAGGAAAGGACAAAACGUUCUCUACUUCUUGAGGAGGCUGGAGUACUUUAAAACCUGUAAUAAAAUCCUGGUGCUGCUUU